UAGGGAAUAUUGGACAAUGGGGGCAACCCUGAUCCAGCCAUGCCGCGUGAGUGAAGAAGGCCCUCGGGUUGUAAAGCUCUUUUGUCCGGAAAGAAAAGCAUUCGGUGAAUACCCGGAUGUUCUGACGGUACCGGAAGAAUAAGCACCGGCUAACUUCGUGCCAGCAGCCGCGGUAAUACGAAGGGUGCAAGCGUUACUCGGCAUUACUGGGCGUAAAGCGUGCGUAGGUGGCUGGUUAAGUCUGAUGUGAAAGCCCUGGGCUCAACCUGGGAAUGGCAUUGGAAACUGGGCAGAUAGAGUGCGGUAGAGGGUAGUGGAAUUCCCGGUGUAGCAGUGAAAUGCGUAGAGAUCGGGAGGAACAUCUGUGGCGAAGGCGACUGCCUGGACCAGCACUGACACUGAGGCACGAAAGCGUGGGGAGCAAACA
rnacentral:rRNA from 1 species